GCGUGAGUGAAGAAGGCCCUAGGGUUGUAAAACUCUUUCAGCGGGGAAGAUGAUGACGGUACCCGCAGAAGAAGCCCCGGCUAACUCCGUGCCAGCAGCCGCGGUAAUACGGAGGGGGCUAGCGUUGCUCGGAAUUACUGGGCGUAAAGGGCGCGUAGGCGGGAAGCGUAGUUAGGCGUGAAAGCCCCGGGCUUAACCCGGGAAUUGCGCUUAAUACUGGCUUUCUAGAGUCCGGGAGAGGGUGGUGGAAUUCCCAGUGUAGAGGUGAAAUUCGU
rnacentral:rRNA from 1 species